rnacentral:rRNA from 1 species
GACGAACCGCGCAAACGUUAUUCGGAAUUACUGGGCUUAAAGGGUGCGUAGGCUGCGCAGAAAGUUGGGUGUGAAAUACCUCGGCUUAACCGAGGAACUGCGCCCAAAACUACUGUGCUUGAGGAAGAUAGAGGUGAGCGGAACUCACGGUGGAGCGGUGAAAUGCGUUGAUAUCGUAAGGAACACCUGUGGCGAAAGCGGCUCACUGGGUCUUUUCUGACGCUGAUGCACGAAAGCUAGGGGAGCGAACGGG